UGGGGAAUAUUGCACAAUGGGCGCAAGCCUGAUGCAGCCAUGCCGCGUGUGUGAAGAAGGCCUUCGGGUUGUAAAGCACUUUCAGCGGGGAGGAAGGCGAUAAGGUUAAUAACCUUGUCGAUUGACGUUACCCGCAGAAGAAGCACCGGCUAACUCCGUGCCAGCAGCCGCGGUAAUACGGAGGGUGCAAGCGUUAAUCGGAAUUACUGGGCGUAAAGCGCACGCAGGCGGUCUGUCAAGUCGGAUGUGAAAUCCCCGGGCUUAACCUGGGAACUGCAUUCGAAAGUGGCAGGCUAGAGUCUUGUAGAGGGGGGUAGAAUUCCAGGUGUAGAGGUGAAAUGCGUAGAGAUCGGGAGGAAUACCGGUGGCGAAGGCGGCCCCCUGGACAAAGACUGACGCUCAGGUGCGAAAGCGUGGGGAGAAAACAGG
rnacentral:rRNA from 1 species